UCUUCACCAUACAAAUUUGUAUUUAGGCCCCUCCCACUCCACCAAUCACCCAGCUCCCGUCUCCCCUGUUUAGCAUCGGGCUGCAGUUCCUUGUUCUCUGAAGCUAAUGGAGACAUAAAGUACCUGCCAGAGUCUCGCCGUAUCCCCAUCCAAUGAUGACACGAACAGUGACAUAUUAAAACUCUAACUCUCAAGAAUUGCUUGCUUAAGAGGUUUUCCCAAAUUCCUCCCCGUUGUUAGAGCAGUAUGAAAUAUAAAACUGGAUGUGUUCAUGUCUUGGUAUUUUAGAUUUUACAAGAUUAAAUCUUAUUUUAGAGAUUAGGUUUCUGGGAUUUGGCAGACUCUGUUGGCAAAUUAGUCUCCUGCGGUAUUUCCCUCUGUGUAUUCUCCUUCUUUAAGCUGCUGCCCUCUGUCUCCCCUUUCCACUCUGAGCAUUGCCCUAUAGGAACAUUUAAAGCACUUCACAACAAAGUACAGAAGGUUCAUUAGUGGAAAUAAUGAUUGUAUGAGAAGGCGGAGAAGUGUUAUUUGCACAGAAGCUGCUCUGAAGGGUUUUGCAGUGCAACACAGAAGCCAGUUCUUCUCCGCCAAACAUUUCACGCUAGUGUGUCACAGAAUGUAGGGUUUGCAGUGGGCUUGUCGUGGCCAUGCAGUGAUGUGAUCGAUGUACUUAGUGUUGCAUUGGUCUUUGUAUGGUUGGACUGUAUAUACACAUAUACAAGUGUGUCCAAAUGUCAUGGUGUUUUUGACAGUUUUGUCCCCUUUAAUUAUCAUGCUAGGUCACAUACUUUCUGUGGCAAAUUCUGUUUAUUAUUUUAUUUGUACUAAAACAUAUUCAGCGUACUACACCAGCUUAAAAACCUCAUUACAGCUGUAUUGGUCUAUGAGAAAUAUUUGGUUUAAAACCAAAUAUGUCUUUUUGAAAUUUCAUGCAGUCCAAUUUAGUGUAAGAUUUUGUUGGUCUGAGACCACGGCUAAAACGAGAUUAGCUGUUACGCUGCGUCCGCCCCCCACCUUCCCCACCAUCAGCAGCUCCCUGUGAGGACCCUGUCAAAGACGCCCCUAUGACCCGCCUCCCUAUGUAAAGUCCAGAAAAAGCACCGGAGUCACUUUUGACACAAAGACGGCAGUAGAAGGGCACUAGACAAAUAACCCCCCACUACGUGAAGACAGUGUUAUUGUUGCACUUAUUUACUUUCUGCACCAUUCAAAAUGCAAUGUGUUGAACCAGUCUCAUUCAAAGACAUUUUGACCAGAUGUAGUACAGAGUCUCAUCAUCCUCAAACUUGCUUCAAUUUCUUUACCUGUCUGAGGGAACCUUUUCAAAAGGAAUUCUGUUUUUUUUGUUUCUCAAUUAAGCUAUUUCUUUGUUUGUAAAUGUGAAAGAAACCGAAGACUCCUUUUCAUACUGUGCAAAGCUGAUUUGUGCCUUUUUAGGAAGUUGAGAUGGUACAGUAGAGGGUAAUAAUCUGUUAUAUCAAAAAAAUUUCACUUGGACCUCUGCCUGCUUACUUUAAACUCAACAUGUAGGAUCACUUAAUUUGAAGAUUUAAGUUUUUCUUUGGUCCUGAAAUGAAAGUGAAUGCAGUACCAUUAUUGUGCCAGUAGGUGGUAGUAUAUAACACACAAUUACAUACAGGGGUCAUCAAUGUGGACAGACUGGCAUUAUUGUCUCUGUCGCUUUUUGUAUAUGUAUUGUUGAUGAUUGCUGUGUUUCUUUUUUUUUUUAUCCCCAGAUAGAAUAACCAGGAUGAGUUUAAUGUCAGCCAUGUUGGAGGAUCCAGAUCACUGCCAAAAUUAGAUAUUAAGACUUCCACAAACAGCCGUACCUCAGAGUCAUGUUUUACUAUCUUCCACUAUGCCAAAAGGUUUAUAGUCCAUUUAGACACAACACGUAAGAUUACUGUGCAAUCUAUUUCUGAAAUGACGGUUUCCGCUGUAGGAUGAGUUGCUCAUUUUCUAUCCUUCCCCUUUUCAGCAACGUUACUGAUGAGGAUAGAAUGGAUAAUCAAACACAUGAACCUUAAAAGGACACUCAACUCUUUAAUACAUGUUGAUCAAUGUUGAAUCGCUAUUUUAAACGUAUUGAGAGAUUUCUUCAGCAUCCUUGUUGCACACUUGAUCACUUUUCACAUGGUUGAUUUAUUUGACCGUUGAGCCAGACUCGUACACAUUGUCCUGUGUAGUCGUAGUAUAAAAGCAUAUUGCAGGAUCUCAGGUUCCUUUUUAUCAUAAAAAUUCAAUACUUUUAUUGAAAGCCAUGAGGUUCUACCAGAUAAGGUACUGGGGCUCAAAAUGUAAACAUUUGGAUGUGCUCGAAAAUACCAUCUAUAGAUCAACAAGAUGGUGAAUGUGUAAUACUUCCUUUUGUCGCCUCUGUAAAGCCAUUGACUAAACAAAACAUUGAAUGUGUUAAUUUAUUGUGCAAAAAGAGGCUGUUUCUGUGCCUGUGAAAGAAUACUUAAGUGAUCGUAUAUCUGUUUGACUGUUGCUUAGUAGGCAAAUGAAUAAAUUACAUUACACAAGUCCAA